CAGGAAUGCUAAGAGGAUGUGAUAUGAAAUACUGAGGUAUACUGCAGCAGCGGCAGGAGUAAGAGGGUAGCUGGUGGGUCCAUGCCCAAGUGUCUUGAGAAAUCACGCCAUGCAACAGUCCUCACUUUUUGGAUUCAUGAAGAUAUAAAAUAUGAGGCCUACACACAGGAACUUUUCAAUCCAAUUGAGCCCAGGGAUUACUGCUCCUCAGCCCUUCAGUUCUAAAGGCGUGUCCCACCAUCCAUGUAGCCUACAAGAAAAGGGACAGGAUACCUGCCCAUACAGU
rnacentral:lncRNA from 1 species